rnacentral:rRNA from 1 species
ACAGCAGUAGCCGCGUUAAUACGGAGGGUGCAAGCGUUAUCCGGAUUCACUGGGUUUAAAGGGUGCGUAGGCGGAUCUGUAAGUCAGUGGUGAAAUCUCCAGGCUUAACCUGGAAACUGCCGUUGAUACUAUAGGUCUUGAAUUUUGUGGAGGUUAGCGGAAUAUGUCAUGUAGCGGUGAAAUGCAUAGAUAUGACAUAGAACACCAAUUGCGAAGGCAGCUGGCUACACAACUAUUGACGCUGAGGCACGAAAGCGUGGGGAUCAAACAGGAUUAGAUACCCGCGUAGUCCCUGUCUCUUAUAC